AUUUUUUAGGAACACCAAGCUUGAGUGAUAGUGGAAAGAAAGAAUCAUAAACUAAAGAGUAUAUUGAUCAAAGUGUUUUACGUACACACAAGAGUCCAUAAGCUUUUCAGACAACAACAUGUUGCCUUAGAAGUUAUCUAAUCAAUUAUGAAGAAGUUAAGAAAUGAAGAACAAGAGAGGAAAAACAUGUCUGAAUAUACUAAAAAACAUCUCUGAACCUUCACAUCCACAUCACUCUGAACUUCAGUCCUCCUUCAAACCGCAAACUUUUUCCUGGUACACAUAUGUGACAUUCUCCUGUCUAUUUAUUUGAACUUCUUUUCAAGACAAAAAGUUCUGGCAUCAAUUUUCCUAACAUAUAAAAUGGAAGACAAACAAAAUCAUUAGCAAAAACAAACGGUGGGCAGAAUAUUGUUCCCACGUUAUCCACAUACGUACACAAGUUGCUGAAUUUUCUUUGAUGUAAUUUUUCAAAUACAAGCACACAAAAAACCAUCGAAGCAACAUACUCUUUGACCAUUUUCUGCUAAGUAGCUAUACUGAUGCAUUCUUUUUCCAUUUUCUUUGACUCUUCAAAUUUUUUCCUACAAGGACUAAACUGACAGAAUUAGAGUCUCAGAACUAAACGAAAGUUGCAACAUGCUCCACAGUGGAAGUCUGAUCUGAUCUGAUCAGAUCAUCCAAGUUUGUGUGCAAGUAAAAAACAACUUUGCUUCGGCCUUCCAUUUCAGAACUCCUCUCCUCUUGGGUUGGAUCAAUCAAACCCAGAGGAAUCAUCCAUCCAUCCUCUCACCGAAACACAAGGCACGGAUACACUAGUAGUCAAACAUGGAAGCAACAUUGACCAAAACCAAAACUAGCCGUGCAGCCAUCAGUAAUUGCACCAUGCCUUCCCCUCCCAAGUAAGCAAUUCUUGCUAAUAAAUUGCUCCGGCGACGCACGCAAGGGACCAAAAAACUUGGGACAUCUCCUGCCCUACUACCACCAUCAGUAGUAAUUCAGUACUAUGCUCUGCUCCGCUUUGUUCUGUUGUAUCACCGCUACUGAUGCUGCUACUCCACUUCCUUGACAGGCCGCCUGUCACCACCACCGCCACCCUGCUGCCGGCGGCGACUAUUGGCGGCGUCCGAGACCCGCUGCACGAUCAUCGCCUCCGCCGCAUCGACCGCCUCCCGUGUCCCGCUGAUCACCACCUCC
rnacentral:lncRNA from 1 species